GAUGAACGCUAGCGAUAGGCUUAACACAUGCAAGUCGAGGGGCAGCACAAGGUAGCUUGCUAUCUGGGUGGCGACCGGCGCACGGGUGCGUAACGCGUAUGCAACUUGCCCUAUACAGGGGGAUAACCCGUCGAAAGACGGACUAAUACUGCGUAUGCUCACAACUUGGCAUCAAGUGGUGAGGAAAGGAAUUCGGUAUAGGGAAGGCCUGCGUCCCAUUAGCUUGUUGGUGAGGUAACGGCCCACCAAGGCAACGAUGGGUAGGGGAACUGAGAGGUUUAUCCCCCACACUGGUACUGAGACACGGACCAGACUCCUACGGGAGGCAGCAGUGAGGAAUAUUGGUCAAUGGGCGCGAGCCUGAACCAGCCAAGUCGCGUGAAGGAUGACUGUCUUAUGGAUUGUAAACUUCUUUUAUACGGGAAUAACAAGAGUCACGUGUGACUCCCUGCAUGUACCGUAUGAAUAAGCAUCGGCUAACUCCGUG
rnacentral:rRNA from 1 species